GACUCACCCUGGCCAGCGGCUGACUCCUCAGCCUGCCGCUGGGUGUGCAGCUCUAUCCUCUUCUUAAUCUUUUUUCCAUUUUACAGCAGGUAGCAACCAGCGUUUAGGUGCAUUACCGCCACCUACCAUGAUGGAGUUUGGACCAGAAUUAUCUGCCUCCUGAAACAAACACAGUGUUAUCUUCUUGCUAAACUUUCAAGGGUUGGAAGCCCAAGACGCGGCGCUCAAGGUGGGUCCAGGUGUAACACCAGCGACUGUCUGACCAAUGAGAAUUUGGUUGAACAAGAGCAUAUCGACCAAUUGAUCAACAGAGAGACCACAGCUCUACUCACAGGAGAGUGGAAUCUGAGCCACGAGAUAAGCGGAGGGUAGAUCCAGCUGAUCCUGAGAUUCCGACUGCAGAUUAGAGGAGUUAAACCUCAGUGUGGCCAGACCAAUGCUCCUGUAUGCAGCUUCUCUGAUAACAGUGAGGAGCAGAUGUGGAGAUAGCGUGUGAGACGGGUUGAAGUGGAGCAAACUGAGCAAAGAGAGGGGAGUCUAGACACAGCAUAGUUGUAAAGCAGAAUAAAGUUCACUGUGGGAUCAUCAGAGAAUAAAUACAGCAGGUGAUGCUGUUUUCCACCUAGACUGUAUUUUUCCACCUUUAAUCAUUUAAUUCUGACAACAAUCUCAAAACAAAUCUGAUUAUACUCUGAUUCCUUAUGUGUAUAUGUUUUAUGCUUGUAUCAAAGUCACGAUUACGUGGGAAUGCAGUUAAGAGUUGUAAUGGUGGCUCUGUGAUAGAACAAUCACAGGAGACAUGUAACAAGGAAACACGGAGGUGGUGAAAAGGGGAAUGUUCAUUUGACAGCUAAUUCAUGUUUAUUACAACUUGAGUCUUAUCUUUGCAGUUUUGACAAUGAUUUCUAUCAGUUAGGACAAUGACUCUCAUCAAAGUCAUUUCUGAGACCUGGGAUCGUGAUUCGUCAGAACUGUUGAUUGUAAACAAGCUGACAGUUUAUCUAUAUGAUCUACACCACUCUAUCUGGAGGUGAAACUGACAAAACUGGAAACAUGUAACCCACCACAUCCUGAGGACUUUCCUAAGAAACACUCCAGCACCAGGAGAGGAAACAUAAGCCAUGCGACAGCCAUGCUAGAGUCUGUGAUGACUUUUGUUUUUAUAAUUCAUGCCUUAUGAAAUUUAUUCCUUUUCAGAAUUUGAAUAUGUCUGGUAGUAACAUUACAUUGAGAUUAAUAUCACUAUAAUAUUUUUAAAUAUUCCUGAAAUAACUUGUGAAAUUUCUCUGUCAUCAAAAUUGUUUAGUAAUUGUAAUUAACUGUCGCCUCAUGAUUGUACAACUUUAUCUUCUUUGUCAUAUAGUAAAAUACAUGCUGCUGUAGCUACUCAACA